ACGCUUAUACCGCAACGUCCUACGGGAGAAAGCAGGGGACCUUCGGGCCUUGCGCUAUCAGAUGAGCCUAGGUCGGAUUAGCUGUUGGUGAGGUAAUGGCUCACCAAGGCGACGAUCCGUAACUGGUCUGAGAGGAUGAUCAGUCACACUGGAACUGAGACACGGUCCAGACUCCUACGGGAGGCAGCAGUGGGGAAUAUUGGACAAUGGGCGAAAGCCUGAUCCAGCCAUGCCGCGUGUGUGAAGAAGGUCUUCGGAUUGUAAAGCACUUUAAGUUGGGAGGAAGGGUUGUAGAUUAAUACUCUGCAAUUUUGACGUUACCGACGGAAAAGCACCGGGCUAACUCUGUGCCAGCAGCCGCGGUAAUAAAGGAGGGUGCAAGCGUUAAUCGGAAUUACUGGGCGUAAAAGCGCGCGUAGGUGGUUUGUUAAGUUGGAAUGUGAAAUCCCCGGGGCUCAACCUGGGAAACUGCAUCCAAAACUGGCAUGCUAGAGUAUGGUAGAGGGGUGGUUGGAAUUUCCUGUGUAGCGGUGCAAAUGCGUAGAUUUAGGAGGGAACCCCCGUGGGCCAAAGGCUAACCACCU
rnacentral:rRNA from 1 species